rnacentral:rRNA from 1 species
UAACAAGGUCUCCGUUGGUGAACCAGCGGAGGGAUCAUUAAAGAGUUGCAAAACUCCCAAACCAUUGUGAACAUACCUUCAACGUUGCUUCGGCGGGUUGGCCCCGGUCUCCGGGGUCCCCGGCCCUACUCGGGCGCCCGCCGGAGGUAUCUAACUCUUGAACUUUUAUGGCCUCUCUGAGUCUUUGUACUUAAUAAGUCAAAACUUUCAACAACGGAUCUCUUGGUUCUGGCAUCGAUGAAGAACGCAGCGAAAUGCGAUAAGUAAUGUGAAUUGCAGAAUUCAGUGAAUCAUCGAAUCUUUGAACGCACAUUGCGCCCGCCAGUAUUCUGGCGGGCAUGCCUGUUCGAGCGUCAUUUCAACCAUCAAGCCCCCGGCUUGUGUUGGGGACCUGCGGCUGCCGCAGGCCCUGAAAACCAGUGGCGGGCUCGCUAGUCACUCCGAGCGUAGUAAUACAUCUCGCUCAGGGCGUGCUGCGGGUUCCGGCCGUUAAAAAGCCUUAUUUACCCAAGGUUGACCUCGGAUCAAGUAGGAAGACCCGCUGAACUUAAGCAUAUCAAUAAGCGGA